CUGCUGGAGCAGGGCGCGCACAGCAUGGCGGAAGCGGAAGGGAGCUACCCGUUCCUGUUGCCACCGCCUCCACCGCCCCCGCCCGGAAUGGCGGAAGUGGAGGUGGCGACGGCGGCCGAGACGGACAAGAAGCAGGUCAGCUGCUCCGGCGGGGGCGCCAUGGACGUGGAGCGGAGCCGCUUCCCCUACUGUGUAGUGUGGACGCCCAUCCCGGUGCUCACGUGGUUUUUCCCCAUCAUCGGCCACAUGGGCAUCUGCACAUCCACAGGAGUCAUUCGGGACUUUGCUGGCCCCUACUUUGUCUCGGAAGACAACAUGGCCUUUGGGAAGCCUGCCAAGUACUGGAAGUUGGACCCUGCUCAGGUAUAUUCUAGUGGACCCAACGCAUGGGACACAGCUGUACACGACGCCUCUGAGGAGUACAAGCACCGCAUGCACAGUCUCUGCUGUGACAACUGCCACUCACAUGUGGCAUUGGCCUUGAACCUGAUGCGCUACAACAAUAGCACCAACUGGAACAUGGUGACGCUAUGCUUCUUCUGCCUGCUGUAUGGGAAGUACGUCAGACUGAAGUUCCUAGUGCCUUCCUGGAGACUUCCUCAGAGGCAGGGCUGAUUGUGGAUGGAGGCAGUGAAGAUGGAGAACAGCCACGUCUCCUGUGCCCACCCAGCAAGUGUCGGGGCAUUCGUGAAGACCUGGCUCCCCUUCACCCUUCUCCUGGGCAUCAUCCUAACGGCCAGCUUGGUCUUUAACCUGCGGUGAUGACUGCCACAUGGCCCUGUACCCACCAGGCUCCUAAGGAGACAGCUGCCACCCCUUUUGGUUCCAGAUUGUUUCUUCUCACCCCUAAAAGCAGGACGGGCCUGCCGGUUCUGACCCAGGGUCUGAGCUAGGUGGGAUGGGACAAGGGCUGAAGAUGAGCGUGGGCCUGGGGGCUGGGGGUGGGGGUCUGACUGGUCACUCAGAGGCUCCCUGUCCCCUCCUUCCCAGGCUUGUGACCACUGCCCUUGAGGCACACUCUUUGUUCGUCUGUUGGAAAGGCCUCAGCUUCCCUCUGUACAGCUGCUCCUGCCACUGCCUGCUCGGCUCCCCCUGCCUCAGCCCAGUGCCCUGUGAAGGAAGGAGGGCGUCUGGGCCUCUGGGCCCAGGAUGAGUGGGAGAAUAAUGAGUCUCUGUAAGCUAAGCUGCCUGGAGGUCUUCAUCACUGGCCUCUAGAAAGGGCUGGAUGGGCACCCCCUUCAGAGGUCGUCCAGAAGCUACACUAGGGGUAGUUUGUGCCCCAUCUCCUGGCAUCCUCCAGCCCAUGCAGCCCCCACUGCCCGCUCUCCCAAGGCCUCUGAGCACUUGAGUCCAUCUCCCCCUGCAGUUAGGGGCCCUCAGCCAGGCUGGAUAAACCAGUGACUCAGAAAUGUGCAGAGUGACCCACUGUAGACCAGAGCAAUGUAAAUGAAGCUCGGCCCUGGCCCCCACUGUGGGCCUCACGCUGGUGGCCCUCCCUGGGCCCAAGAUGUGGGGGCUGUCAGAGCAGCUCGUGCCGUCAGGGAGCCCAAGGGGAGCCAUUGCCUCGCACCUUCAACAGCUCCCCUGCUCUUCAAGUUGUGGAGAGGGCUGUGCUGCCCCCCUCGCCCCUGCUCCUGUGAUUCCUUUGUGUGGGGCUCCCCAGGCAGGGCAAUAAAGAGUUUUGACUCCA